GAGCAUGAUGCAGCACAUAUACAAAAAUUAGAAUGAUACAGAGAAGAUUAGCAUGGCCCCUGUGCAAGGAAGGCAUGCAAUUUGUGAAGUGUUUCAUAUUUUU